rnacentral:misc_RNA from 1 species
AAGUCGUAACAAGGUUUCCGUAGGUGAACCUGCGGAAGGAUCAUUAAAACGUAUCCAACGUUAACUAAUUGCGAACUCGUUCCUCCCUUGGUAUUAAGAAAUUGGAGCUAUAGAGGACUUUGUGUGAGAUCUUUAACUAGGUCAGUCUGAAGUAGUCACUGACACUUUCGGGUGUCGACAAGAGUAUUUUUAUCAAGGCAUUUCUUUCUGUCACUGGCUUUCACUCAUGCCGGGGCGGGGGGAGUACUACAUAAACCCUUAUCACCCUUUUUUGCUAGUUGACUUUUUUAAUGUUAAUUUUUACGAAAGUAGAGAUUACACGUUUCAUUAUUUGAACGUAAAAUACAACUCUUAGCAAUGGAUAUCUAGGUUCUC